rnacentral:rRNA from 1 species
GGAUGAACGCUGGCGGCGUGCUUACCCCAUCCAAUUCGAACGGUGAAGCAGAGCUUGCUCUGUGGUUCAGUGGCGAACGGGUGAGUAACCCUUGAGCACCCUCCCCCUGACUCUGGGAUAAGCGCUGGAAACGCCGUCUAAUCCUGUAUAUGCUCUGCGACCGCAUGGUCAGCAUUUGGAAAGAUUUUUCGGUCUGGGAUGGGCUCACGGCCUAUCAGCUUGUUGGUGAGGUAAUGGCUCACCAAGGCGUCGACGGGUAGCCGGCAUGAGAGGGUGACCGGCCACAAUGGGACUGAGAGACGGACCAGAGUGGUAAGGGAGGCAGCAGUGGGGAAUAUUGCACAAUGGGCGAAAGCCUGAUGAAGAAACGCCGCGUGAGGGAUGAAGGCCUUCGGGUUGUAAACCUCUUUUAGCAGGGAAGAAGCGAAAGUGACGGUACCAGCAGAAAAAGCGCCGGCUAACUACGUG